UCGUAUUUAAGAAAGUCUUUCCUGAGCUGGGUGUGGUGUUCCGUAACUCCAGAACGGCCAGGGAGGAGAAGAAAGGAGUCCUGAGGCAGGAUAAUUGCCUCCUCUUUGAGGCCAGUUUGGGCGUGGGGUUGUGGCUGGGGAGUGGCGGAAGAGCCGGGGGUGACUUCCGACAGUACCGCCUGCUCUGCGGAGGGCAUAGGGGUGCGGACGGGGGCAGGACGCGGAGAUCCUGGAACACCGGUGCUGGGAUGGGCCGGAAGGCAAAGCUGGCACUCGGUGUACAGGGACCAGACCCAGGUGCGGGUUAGGCUUUCGCCGAGGAAAACACUAGUUCCCCAGGCGGCGAGGCUGGGCUUUGGCUCGCUCCUCGGUCCCCAUCAGUCCUCACACCCUCUAACUUCCACCCUGACGCAGCUGGGUCCAGAAAUCCACUCUCUGGUCACCACGGCUCUACGAACGCUCGCCCCUUAAGGAAUAUUCCACCACCUUUGGCUAGAAGUGGAUACAUGUAUGGUUUCACACUAGAGAAGUCUUUGCAAAAAGAGAAAAGAAGUCAUUGCCCUUUCCUGCUGGACUUACGGAGUGCCGAGCAUCAGGUGUAGCUCCAAGUCCUAGACAGGACUCUGGUGGUGAGCAGAGGGGUGGGCUAGACAUUGCCAGAGGCCUGUUGCAUAUGAGAAUAGCAGACAACGGCCUCUUUUCCUGAAAGUUCAUCAAAGGAGACUUCCUCUUGUGAGCUUAAUGUUUAUUUUUAAAAACUCAAUAAAAUCCGAGCAAGAUAAAUAAAAAUUGAAAGGGAGAAGGUGAGACAUUCUAGAGCUGAGUGGGAGGCCUGCCUGGGCUACUUCAUGAAUACCAGGCCAGUCAGAACUAGAAAACAAGACCCUUUUAAAUUUGAAUAAAUAAAGGAAUAAACAAAUAGGAAAAGGAAAGAAAAGAAAAAGAAACACACAUCCUAAAACCUGAUCCUAUGUCUCUGAGCUGUGCAAGGCGCCAACACAGGCCUUUCCGGGGUCUUUAGACACACACAGGCCUUUUCGGGGUCUUUAGAGCACCACACAGGCCUUUCCGGGGUCUUUAGACACACACAGGCCUUUCCGGGGUCUUUAGACACACACAGGCCUUUCCGGGGUCUUUAGACCACUGCACAGGCCUUUCCGGGGCCUUUAGAGCACCACACAGGCCUUUUCGGGGCCUUUAGACCACCACACAGGCUUUUCCGGGGUCUUUAGACACACACAGUUCUUUCCAGGGUCUUUAGAGCACCACACAGGCCUUUCCGGGGUCUUUAGAACCACACAAGCUUUUCCAGGGUCUUUAGACCACCGCACAGACCUUUCCAGGACCUUUAGACCACCCUUAAUAUUUGCUUUUCUCUUUUGCUUAUUCAUUACAGGCAGGGUUAACAAAAAGAGAAUGGCUUUCUGUGGAAAGAAGCUCCUUCCACAUAAGAGAUUUUAAAUCUCAGAUGCUAAAACUGUAUUCCUAUCUUGCUGAACUAUUAUUAUUCCUGUCAUAGACUUGACCUGGUACUCACCACUGUCCGGAUUCUUUCUCCUUGCUGACAGAGACUGCCCAGUCUGGCCAAUAUUUAUCCUUUAAAUGACGAUGAGAAGCAUAGGUGUGGAACAGGAUCAGAAGGUUAGCCCAUCCCUCAGGUACAGAUCCAUCUGCUGCCGUGACCAUACUCAAGGUGGGAGGUCUUCAGCAGGAACAAAUGGAUUUCCGGUAACAAAGGACUGGGUGUCAACGUUCCAAACUCUGUUUCCAGGGGUACUGGAAGAUGAGGACUAUUUUACAAUUCACACUGAAGUUUUGAAAAUUGUUAAAUGGUGCCACUUUCCGACUUUCAUGAAGAAAUGCCAGGGCACCAAAAGAACCAAAAGUCAUUGCUGUCCACACCCCACAAAUAUCUUCCUCGGCUGUCUCAAACUUAAUGCAACCAGAUCAUUUAUCUAGCAAAUCUAGAAAAAUCUAAGAGAAAGGACAGGACAGGACAAAUCAGACAGGACAGGCUGCAGAAUAUCUAGAAGAGGAUCGAGGACAGGAAAUCUUACUAAGUUUUUAUAUAUAUAUACCCAUGAAAUUAUCAGCAUUAUUAUAUAAAAUAAUGUCUGAAGAGAUUACAUUAAAAAUAGUUAUACCUUCAACAUAGCAAAAUAGAGAUCAUAUAAUAUUACUUAAGUAGAAGCUUGAUGACUCCUUCGAUAGCUCAGUUGGUAGAGCGGAGGACUGUAGUGGAGUUUGCCUAUCCUAUCCUCUCAGGAUAUCCUUAGGUCGCUGGUUCGAAUCCGGCUCGAAGGAUGAGUGUUUUGAUGGGAGUGCAGAUAUAAUUUAAUCACAGUCUCCCCUAACACGUAGGUGUCGUUUAGACAGAACUAGGGUCUCCCCCUUACUCUAGUCUCUCUUUAGAUCCACUGGGUGUGUAGGAUGUCAAGGGUUCCCUGCUCUCACGCCCUGACUUUUUGCCAGGAAUUAGGACAUAUGCGACAGCCUGUGGGGUCCGCUGUGGUCGGGAUCAGCUAGUCUUGACAGAGAAAGAAUUUCAUGAGGCCAUGCUAAGCAUACCCCAAAAGCAAAACGUCCUGUACCAUUUCCUAGAUAAAGCCAUCAGGUCAGUCCCUUUCGCAGUGUGUUCCCAACACACUCCGCCCACCUAAAAUGUGCGAUCCUCUCCCCGGGACGGUAGGAUUGAGAAAAGGUGGUCCGAGGGUAUAAAAGAGGGACCGGGUCCGUGUUCCCCUCCCUCCUCCUUCCCACUAGGGCGAAGAGGAUUGAAGAGUCUCUUAAAAUGACAGGUGACGGGGGUAGAGACCCACGCCUGGAAUCCCCGCAUCUGGAGAGGCUGAAGCAGGAGAAUCUAGGCAGAGCUCGUUUUUGUUUUUGCUGUUGGUGUAUGAGUUUUGGUUUUUCUUUCUCAGAGGCUUUCUGGUGCACCUAGGCUGCCCCAGCCCCUUCCAACCUUCCCUCAGCUCCCUUCUCCUCUCCUCUGCAGACUCCCUCCUAGCCGAAAACUCUCUCUGGAACCCUCGAUGUUCCUGUGCGUGCACCAGAGCUCCAGAAGCCACCUACUCUGUGUAGAUGUGGCAACUUCAGUGGAUGAGCGGAGGAAGCUGAUGAGAAAAGGCUUGACGGUUUCUUCAGAAACGGGGAUAAUCCGCCAGGAAAUCCCUCUGGAACAAACACUCUUCUCUUUUCCCGCCAGUCCCCGUCAGUAGGUUCGUCUUCACAAAGCCCUGGGGCUGGAACGGGAAUUGACAUGCAAGAAUUCUUCACUGGGAAAGAACGUUCAUUUUAAUGUGAUGGUCUUUUAUAGCUAAAAUACUAGAAAUAUUUCCAUAAAUGUUAUAUGCUCUCCUUGCCUUUCAUGAUCAAUAAACUUUAAAAUUUAUAAACUCCAACAAAUAAAUAAAAGCUUCCCUGGAUGGCUUCCUGUGUUUUCCCAUGGUACUCACUUUCUGUCUUAGGAAGCUGAGUGGCACCAUGGGUGGUUGCCAGCCAAGUAUAACAGCAUACCUAAAUACAGAUGAUUCAAUUAUCAAGUUUGAGGUACAUGUUAUGUUUUGUUUAUUUGUUCCAGCAUAACUAUUCACCCUAACAUGGAUCACUCCAUUCCUAAACACAUGCAGUGCUGGUUUGUUUCUGUCCAUUUCACACAAGCCAGGGUCAUCUGGAAGAGGGACUUCUAUCAGACUGGCCCGCAGGCAAACCUCUGGGGGCAUUUUCAUGAUUAAUGAUUGAUGUGCAUGGCUCAGCCCGCUGUGGGUGGUGCCCCUGCUGGGCACGUGGUCCUGGACUGUAUAAGAAAGCAGGCUGAGUAAGCCAUGGUGUGUAGGCCAGUAAGCAGCAUUCUUCCAUGUUAUCUGUUUCACUUCUUGCUUCCAAGGACCUGCCUGCUUGAGUUUCUGCCCAGGUUUCGCUUAUAACAGACUGUGAUCAAGAUGCGUAAGUUAAAUAAACCCUUUCCUCCCCAA